CUAUUACCUUGUGAAGAAACAGAAUGUAAAUCCAUCUUACAGUAGCUAUUGCACUCUAUGAAGUAGUGCAGUUAGCGUUCAUUUAUAUUCUCUCUUAAUUUUGCACCAAGUUCAAAUGCAGUCUCCUAAAUUCACAUACUCAUGCUAGCUUCCAGUAUUUACAAUAAUUUUCUUUUUUUCUGAGGAUUUCUUUUUUCUUUUGCACAGAAAACUUUGCAGAGACACAUCAGUGAACGUGAGGGACAAAGUGCUGAGGCCCUGCUCCCUGUGGGGUGGGCCAUCACCAACCUCUUCUUUGGUACUGAACAAAGAGGAAGAAUCGCAGGAUGAGAAUUUUGGUAAGAUGGAGAGCAGAACUCUGGAAGGGUUUGUUCUGGUCUUACUCAUAAGUGGACCUUUCCUGUCACCCAUUUAUAAGUGUUUUGAGUCAUUAAUGCCAUAUUUUGUUUCUGUAAUUAUAGUCUGAGAGUUGGUGGAAACCCUUCAAAUACCAAGAUCAUCUUGCUGGGAGAGGCAGAGUGGUGCAUUUGUUUUUGCUAAAUUAGCAUUCGAAAUCGCCAGAUUUGAUGGGAGUUCCUUCUCUGAUGUUAAAGCGUACUGAAGCUUCAUGUAGUUUUGGUGGCUCUCCAGAAAAGUUUUCAGUUUGUUUCUUGAUAUGUUCCAGUUAGGUUUGCAGUAAGCUGGUGGUGGUAGAUCUUCUAAUAUACAUGCUGAAAGGAAGACCAAAGGAUUGUAAUGCUAGAAUUGAAAGAGAAAAUUAAGGUUUGUGCAAGGUUUGAAAAUUGGAAAUAUAUUUCUGCUUCCAAGGAAGAAGCAUGGCCUGCUAGGUAGAGCAGAAACAAAGCCAGGGCAGAUUUCUGGAUUUUAUUGCUGGCUUUGUUGUUGGCUGCAGUGAGACUUUAUUUGUGCUCCCACUUCCUGUUUUUAAGAUGAGGGCUAUACUUGCUAAAAAGGGUGAAAAACAGUGGCUCUGCAAGAGCUUUGUCUGCUAGGCAGAAAAAUACAGUGAUAUCUUCUGUCACUCAGCAAGCUGUAACUAGCCUUUAAAAGUAACUCAGUUGAAGUAGUAAAUGCCCAUAUUAAAGAAAUAAACAAGUUUUAAGCAAAUUUUUAACAACAGCCUUUAAACAUUUUGGGACCCAUCCCACCACUCGGUCUUAAUCCAGAAUUCUUUUUCUUGCUGUUUGAGAAAGAGUUUAACCAUCAAAACUUGAGGGAAAAAGCUUCAAUAUGUUUGUUAGCUUCUCUAAAGUAAGUAUCAACUUUUCACCUUUAUGUGGCAUAUGAUAUGUUAAUGCUUCUUCAUUGCAAGGAAAGUUGGCUAUGUGCAGACAGAACUUUAUUCCAUGUUUGUGUCAAAAUCUGAACAUGAAUUACAUGACAGGAAAAUGGAGUUAAAAUUUUGGGGGCUUCUCCUUAAAUUUAAGGGGUGUCUACAGAAGGAAUAAUCUUCCAAAGAACAGGGGAAUGUUGCCUAGGACAACGUUAAUGAAUUAGUAAAAAGAAAAAUAUGAUUUUGCGUAUGAUGUUUCAGAAAAUAAUUUGUUGUAUGGGACUUUCUCCAAUUUGUAGUCGCUGGGAAAACUUUCCCUGGAGUCAAUUGACGAUUGACUAGCGCCAUGGAACGGAUUUUUUUGACAGGAAGUAAGUGUCAAAUGCUGCCAUUUUGCAAUUGUUCACUUUCCCAGCUGCAAAUGACAUUGCAAGACUAGAAGAUCUAAGCCCUGUGAAUCUGAACAAGUGUAACCAUAAUGCCUCACUGGGGCUGUUUGGCUCUGGCCUAAGGUAAGGUUUGCACUGACAUGAUGCAGGGGAUUUAAACCUCAGAUAAAAAUAAGCUGUGUGUGCACAUUGCUGGAUCAGUUCAAAGGUCCAUCUCUCCUCUCUGGAAGUGGCAUACAUGCCAGGUGACAUACAAGGGCCCCCUACAUUACAGGAAUAUGCUUGGCAGCCCCAUCAGAUGGAUUUUACCUGAGUUGUUCCAGGCCAUCUUUCAUCUCCCCAGCUUUUUCUCACAGUGCAUUAUCACCAUUUCCACAAUUAUCACAGUUAUUGUCCUUCUGCAAGUGAACAGUGAAGCAGUUGAUUUUGUGAGACAAUGUUAAAUAUAACAAUAUUUUUUUCUUGCACUAAUCUCAUACCUGCUUCUUUUCUAUUUUCUGUCACACUCUUAUUGAUGCAGCUGUAGCAAUAUGGUGAUCACAAAUUUCAGGAGUGUCAGAGAGAAAUUUUCAUGUGCAAUUACAUACACUUCUUUUAUUUCCACAUAUUGGCAGGAAAAAAAAAUGUAUAUUCCUAUUACUAGCAGCUGAUUACAGUUUCCUUAUUCUUUUACUGCUAAAAUAAUUGCAGAGUUGGAAGAGCUGCAUCUCUGUCUUGAAGAGAAAAAACAAGCUUUGGAAAUGAUGCUUUGUGCCUGUGCAGAUUUCUGACUCCAUUUGUUUUUUAAAGAAAUCGCUGGUGAAGUCGUGGUGUGUCCAUGUAACAUUCCUGCGCCUAAAAAUAUGGUCAAUUGACACCUUGAAGGUUUCCAGGCAACUCUAACCAUUUGUGACAUCUUUAGCUGCAUCUCCAGUAUGUUCAAAACAGAUGAAGUGAAUGAAUUGAUUUUAGCUGUAUAAAACCCUUGACGAAAAUCUCUUUGUGGCCAUCAAAGCCACACAAGCUUUGCUGUGGGCUCCCUGCUCCUGAAAGCGCUGCAGCUUCCUUCCCCUGGGCCAGGGCACGAGCCAGAGAGAAAUGAUGCUGUGCCUUGCCUACCGCUGUAGCAUCACCAGCUCAGACCUGAAACUGUGCGUAUACCAUAAGGUACCAUCCCAACAGCAGAAAAUAAGCACUUCACUAGUUGUUUUUAAUCACUGCGACACCCAGUUUGCUGCAUAAAAUCAGGAUUGCAAAAGUUGAAGUCAAAAUGGUUCUUUGAUGGGCUUAAGGAGACAGCUAAAACAACAAAACCUUUCCCUCUCUCCCCAGAAAACAUUUGGACAUUCACAUGUAGUGAGAUGUGCAAUAGGCUACGAAUAAAUUAAGUGCAGAAUCUCAGCUCCUUUAAUGAAAUAAUCUGCUAAACUGAUGUUUGUAUGUAGUUCAAAGAAAAUCCUUUUGAAGACAUAUGGCCUUUUCAUUGUGUUCCAUUUUGGCUCGAGU